UUAGCCGUUAAAAUGUGUUUUAAGCACGAAUGAUUUUCUGUCAAACUUGCAAUCAAUUUGCACGCUUUUCUUUUUCAAUAAGCAAUCCAUUUGAAUGCAACAACCGUUUUGCAGUUCAUCAGGUUAUAUAAAAGCAGUGUCAAAUCAAUCUAUUACACCUUUUCCCAACAUAACAGCACUUUCAAUUUCUUUUCUUUUCAUCAAUCUACGAUAUCCUCUAUGCUCGCUGAACUUCGGCAAUGAACUAAAACGGCGCAUCAAUAGCUCGUCAAAAUCCCAUAGGAGACUCAAGAACGUCACGCACAAUCUCUCUUUUCUCUCUCUCGGCCAAAGGUUACUCGAUUUUCAUCCAUCGCUGCUGAUCGCUUAGCCGGAGCUCUCCAAUAUCUCACCUUUACACGACCUGACAUCACCUAUGCGGUUCAACAGGUGUGCAUGCAUAUGCACGCACCAUGUCUCGAUCACUGGCAUGCACUCAAGAGAAUUUUAAGAUAUGUGAAGGGCACUUCAUCGUUUGGUAUUACACUCGGUCCUUCUCGUGUCACAUCAUUAGUGGCUUACACUGACGCUGAUUGGGCUGGCUGCCCUGACACCAGGCGUUCUACUAGUGGCUACUGCGUCUAUCUUGGUGAUAAUCUCAUCUCAUGGUCUUCCAAACGACAAGCCACUGUAUCUCGCUCCAGUGCUGAGGCCGAAUAUAGAGGGGUGGCUAAUGUUGUUGCUGAGAUUUGCUAGCUCCGGAACGUGCUUCUCGACCUCUCAUUACCACUUACACGAGCUACAAUGGUUUAUUGCGAUAACGUCAGCGCCAUUUAUCUUUCCGGCAAUCCGGUUCAGCAUCAACGCACCAAACACAUCGAAUUAGAUAUUCACUUUGUGCGAGAGUAGGUUCAGCGCGGCAAUGUUCGUAUCCUUCAUGUACCGUCACGAUACCAGAUUGCAGAUAUAUUUACCAAAGGAUUACCACGAGUUUUAUUUGAAGAUUUCAGGUCCAGUCUCAGCAUUCGGUCACCUCCCGCUUCGACUGCGGGGGUGUAAUAGCAUCCGUAUAUUAGGCAUGAUUAUAUUGUGAUUAUUGUAAUUAUUCUAUAUCCAUAUUUAGCCUGUAUCUCUGUAUUAUAUAUUGAGAAGGAUAUCAAUGAGAAGGAUCACGGUUCAUAUUA